CCCUGAAGGAGUUGUCUGAACCUCGAGCUAAGGUAUCAACAGGAGCUCAUGGAAAGCCUCCUUGACUUUGAGUUUCUCCUCUGGUAGAAUUGACUGACUCUAACUAUGUGAGGAGCUGCUAGAGUCUACUGUGCCUGAUAAACAGCUCUCAUCUAACAAAAGCUACUUAGCAUGUGAAUGGCAGUUGGGAAUGAACAAACGACAUGCUGUUUAAAAGGCUGCUGCUCUGGUUAAAGGACAGUCAAGACAAUCUUCUUUUGAGUUAUUUAUAGUUUAG
rnacentral:lncRNA from 1 species